UGAACCUAAAUCUCAGUCUUCAAUCUCCGCAACUCCAUCUCCACCGUCUUCCGCUAAUCAGCACCACCACCUAUCUCUGCAAAUCCAUCUUCACUGUCUAACUCUGAACUCAAAAGUCAAAAUUCUUCUGAAGAAAUUGUGCCCUAAAUUGAAGAAAUCGUCGCCACCGAUUGAAGAAACGAUCUGAUUUCUGAAGCAAAGAAAAUCCAAGGAUAAAUGGAGGAGUAUGAUGUAGCUGCAACUGGUGAGGGUUUUAGGCCGGAAAUUAAGGCACCAGCAGCAACCAUAGAAUCCAUCUUUCAAUCUCCUUCAUCCCCUAAAACUGCUGAGGAGGCAAAAAAUACAGUAAAGCUUAGGAUCUUACAGUAAACACGCCAGAUGGGAAGCCUCCACUUAGUAGGUGUUAACUAUUUCACAGAGAAAUCCAUGGGAGCAUGUACUGGGAGUGGGACUUGGAGCUGUAUUCGUAAAUCAGUUGGUCAAAUGGGAUGCUCAGCUUCAAGUUGAUCUUCACAAGAUGCUCGACGAAGCUAAGGCUGCAAAUGAACGUCGCUACUUUGAGAUGCUGAUAUUACAGUGGGAGAAGUUAUCAGUGGGAGAAGAUAAAGAGUUGAUGAAUAUCAUUCUUGCCUGUCAUGGAGAAAAUACAGGAGAUGAAAGGGAACCUGGUACGAAAUGUUGCUGUGUGGAAGACGUUGGAUUUGUUAAAUGACAAUGCUUUUAGCCAUUUAAUGGAGACAAGGAGGCGAGUCUUGAUUAAGCUUUUAAUUGAAUCUCCUGGUCCAAGGUCUCCCGGCACAAAAGUUUCCAGGUACAAAGGUCUCCAGAACAGAGGUCUCCAGGACAGAGGCUUCGGUCUCUGUGUCUGGUGGGCCGCUGCACCCUGUCAGGCCGAUUUGCCUGGUUGGCCGCUGCGUCCUGGCGGCCCGAUGUGCCUGGUGUGCCGUUGGCCGGGUUGGCCAAUGCGUCAGGUGGUUAGCUGGGAAAUAGAGCUGCAAUAUGUGAGCAGUUUUGUCCAGGACAGUGGACCUACUCGUGCGAGUUAAACAAGCACCAGAGUUCAAGGAUAAUGAAGAGCAAGUGCUAGUAGCCAGCCGGGGGUAUUUCAGCCCCUGGUAAGUUCCUUUUUCCUUUUUUUUUUCCUAUAUUCUUUCUUUACAGUUUAAUUUGGAAAUUUGUGGAAAACAAAAAGUAACCUCUAUUUUACUUUGUGCGAGGGCAACAAAAGCAACAAUGAUCAAUUUCAAUUAAGGGCAAUCAAAACAAAUCAAGUAUAGAACCGCCAGUGAUGGAAGAAAUUCCUCAAAUGCAGAGAUAGACAUGACAAACAAGGGGAAUUAUAAGAGAAACAAGAAGAAGAGGGCAAAAUUAAUGAAAGAUAAGGCAAGGGGACAUACAUGACCAGCAGCCUAAGUUCUGUAUUGUAUGAUUGUAUCGAAGAUGAAAAUGAUAGUGAAGAUGAUGAAGAAGAUUGUGAUUAUGUAGAUGAAGUGGCCUCGAAAAGGCUACCAGAUUCUUGGGACCCUGAAGAAAUACAUAUGCUAAGGGAAGCCUUUCAUUAUCUUGUAAAAGAUGAUAAGAAGAAACCAUGGAAGGAAAUGUUGGAAUAUGGACAUGAUGUCUUCCAUGCUGGUCGUACCAAUGAGGAUCUAAGGUCAAAGUGGAAGUAUAUGAAUUGGCACAACAAUCACCUUCUCAAAAUCCAUUGUCCUUGAAAUCACAUUGAGCAUCAGCAUCUAAAGGUUCAUUCUUAGCUAGCUAAUUGAGUUGAGGCAGCUGCUAAGAACUUCUUCGCGCAAUAGCUGACUCCAUUCGAAGUUGCGCUUCACAUAAUCUGCAUCUGAAGGUAUCUGGAAGUGUGGUGCUUAACAAUCUUAAAAUUCUGCAGUAGUACAUCUGUAACAUCUCACAGGCCAAAGACACAUAGGUUUGGUGCGCCCAGUAAAAGACCCACCCAAGCACAAUCCGCAUGACCAAAAAGAAGCCAACAAAAAGAAGACACAUGUCCAAAAUUUUGAAAUUCAAAAAUUGGCGGGAAAAUUCGUACAGGAGAGAUAGAUAGAUAGAAUAGAUGAAGCUCAUGGAAACUCUGAUUAUUUUGAGUCUGAGGGGUUGCUGCUGGAGAGGAAGGAACUUGGAAGCCAUGAUAUAGCAAACCCCCCCUUAGAUCUAGCUACUUUCAGAUUUUGAAAAAAGGCACUUCACUGAUCAAAAAAAAAUGGCACUUAGUUCACAAUUGGGUGCUGAUGUUAACCAUUAAGCACAUGGUAGACCACCACUCAGUUUUAUCGAAUUGAUAGGUGCGCUGCUCAGUUUCGGAAAUUGAGCGGUGCAAUGGCAGGCCACCACUUCGUUCCGCAGAAUGAGUGUGCACUGCUCAGUCCCGGGUACUGAGCGGUGCAAUGGCAGGUCACCGUCAGUUCCUAAAACUGAGAGGUCCAAAGCUAUGUGUCUAAUGGAGAACGUCACACUUAAUGGAACUGAGCAGCUUCCGGACAAAUGAAACUAUUGGAAAACAGGUAAAUGAGCUUCUCUUUUCCUCCUUUUCUUUUUUUUUUGUCGUUUUUCUUUCGUAUUUUAUUGAAAUCACUGUUGGAAGUCUGGUACACAGCAAGGCAGUGAUACUCCCCAUGUAGUUCAGCUACAGCUGCUGAAACAUAGCUAAGUCUGAUUCUUGGGUAACGUUUCAACGUAAAUAGCCAUGUUUAGCUUUUGUUAUAUUGCUGACUUUGGUACUCUGCUAGUAUAUUUAGGUGCACAUUCUUAACACUCUCAAUGUAUACUUAAAUUGCCCUUAUAUUUCUAGAAUGCCUGAGUUUCUAUUUUGCUUGGUACAUGUCUAUCAUUUUGUUCAAGGUUUCUGCCCCUUCUUCCGAUGACUGUCAGGUCAGUACAUUUUUGCCUUAACAAAGAUAUUUGUUUCUAACUUGAGUGUUGCUUUUGUUUUUGUUUUUUGCAGGUCUUGCCUUUGCAUUCCUAACUCUAACUCUAUGUUUAUUAACACUUAUGAUCAUGUUUAUUAUGUUUUGCAUAAAAUUGUUUCUAACUUGAUCAUUGGAGUAUCUUUUUUUUUUUGCAGGUCUUGCCUUUGUAUUCCUAACUCUAACUCCAUGUUUAUUAACCCUAACUCUACUUUUAUUACGUUUUGAUAAAAUUGUUUCUAAUUUGAGUGUUGGAGUAUCUUUAUUGUUUAAUGCAGGUCUUGGUUUUGUAUUCCUAACUCUAACUCUACGUUUAUUAUGUUUUGCAUAAAAUUGUUUCUAACUUGAGCCUUGGAGUGUCUUUAUUGUUUUUUUGCAGGUCUUGGCUUUGUAUUCCUAACUCUAACUCUAUAUUUAUUACGUUUUGCAUAAAAUUGUUUCUAACUUGAGUGUUGGAGUAUCUUUAUUGUUUAAUGCAGGUUUUGGUUUUGUAUUCCUAACUCUAACUCUACGUUUAUUAUGUUUUGCAUAAAAUUGUUUCUAACUUGAGUGUUGGAGUAUCUUUAUUGUUUUUUGCAGGUCUUGGCUUUGUAUUCCUAACUCUAACUCUAUGUUUAUUAUGUUUUGCAUAAAAUUGUUUCUAACUUGAGCCUUGGAGUAUCUUUAUUGUUUUUUGCAGGUCUUGGCUUUGUAUUCCUAACUCUAACUCUAUGUUUAUUAACCCUUAACUCUACGUUUAUUAUGUUUUGCAUAAAACUGUUUCUAACUUGAGCGUCGGAGUAUCUUCCUUGUUUUUUUGCAGGUCUUGCCUUUGUAUUCCUGUGGCCAAUUCAAUUAGUAGAGUUGUUGAAAUGGAAUGCUGGUACCUUGCGGGGAACGUCAUCUGUUUGGCUUUUGAUCAGUUUGCCUCUAGGGUAUGUCUGACUUUAAAGGAUACAAAUGAAGACAGAUCAGUCCUGUGAAUCAUGUACUAAUGAGAUCCUCCUCUUCCCUGAAGGAGGCUGCAUUUUAACUCAAAAGGUGUUAUAACCUGCUUUUGUAAUAUCUUCCUCUGGAAUGACCUGCUUUUGUAAUCCUUCUCCUCCCCGGGUAUAUAAUGCACAUUUUAUUCUCCUUGGCUCACAAAGAGUAGUGAAGGUGUCUGGUAGUGGAAUGGGUCUGAACUAUUUGGUUUAUUGAUCGCCAGUCGGGGGUUCCUGGUGAAUUUUUUGAAUUGGAAUUGUUGUUUGUUAUGGUAUAUCCAGUUCUUAGUGCACACAAGUGAUUCCCUGGUGUAAAACAGAGACACCAGUACAUAAAACAGAGUAGAGAAUGCAAUUUGCGCAAAAGUAAUUCGAAGUUUGUUUUUGAAUAAACUGCUGACAACAAUCACCUUCUCAAAAUCCAUCGUCCUUGAAGCAUCAGCAACUAAAGGUUCAUUCUUAGCUAGCUAAUUGAGUUGAGGCAGCUGCUAAGAACUUCUUCGCGCAAUAGCUGACUCCAUUCGAAGUUGCGCUUCACAUAAUCUGCAUCUGAAGGUAUCUGGAAGUGUGGUGCUUAACAAUCUUAAAAUUCUGCAGUAGUACAUCUGUAACAUCUCACAGGCCAAAGACACAUAGGUUUGGUGCGCCCAGUAAAAGACCCACCCAAGCACAAUCCGCAUGACCAAAAAGAAGCCAACAAAAAGAAGACACAUGUCCAAAAUUUUGAAAUUCAAAAAUUGGCGGGAAAAUUCGUACAGGAGAGAUAGAUAGAUAGAAUAGAUGAAGCUCAUGGAAACUCUGAUUAUUUUGAGUCUGAGGGGUUGCUGCUGGAGAGGAAGGAACUUGGAAGCCAUGAUAUAGCAAACCCCCCCUUAGAUCUAGCUACUUUCAGAUUUUGAAAAAAGGCACUUCACCUAUCAAAAAAAAAUGGCACUUAGUUCACAAUUGGGUGCUGAUGUUAACCAUUAAGCACAUGGUAGACCACCACUCAGUUUUAUCGAAUUAAUAGGUGCACUGCUCAGUUUCGGAAACUGAACGGUGCAACGGCAGGCCACCAUUUCGUUCCGUAGAAUGAGUGUGCACUGCUCAGUCCCGGGUACUGAGCGGUGCAAUGGCAGGUCACCGUCAGUUCCUAAAACUGAGAGGUGCAAAGCUAUGUGUCUAAUGGAGAACGUCACACUUAAUGGAAGUGAGCAGCUUCCGGACAAAUGAAACUAUUGGAAAACAGGUCUUUCCGUUGCAUUCCUAACUCUAACUCUAUGUUUAUUAACACUUACAAUCAUGUUUAUUAUGUUUUGCAUAAAAUUGUUUCUAACUUGAUCAUUGGAGUAUCUGUUUUUUUUUUUUGCAGGUCUCGCCUUUGUAUUCCUAACUCUAACUCCAUGUUUAUUAACCCUAACUCUACUUUUAUUAUGUUUUGCAUAAAAUUGUUUCUACCUUGAGCGUUGGAGUAUCUUUAUAGAUUUUUGCAGGUCUUGGCUUUGUACUCCUAACUCUUAACUCUACGUUUAUUAUGUUUUGCAUAAAAUUGUUUCUAACAUGAGCCUUGGAGUAUCUUUAUUGUUUUUUGCAGGUCUUGGCUUUGUAUUCCUAACUCUAACUCUAUAUUUAUUAUGUUUUGCAUAAAAUUGUUUCUAACUUUAGUGUUGGAUUAUCUUUAUUGUUUUUUUUUGCAGGUCUUGGCUUUGUAUUCCUAACUCUAACUCUAUAUUUAUUACGUUUUGCAUAAAAAUGUUUCUAACUUGAGUGUUAGAGUAUCUUUAUUGUUUAAUGCAGGUCUUGGUUUUGUAUUCCUAACUCUAAGUCUAACUUUAAUGCAGGUCUUGGUUUUGUUUCUAACUUGAGUGUUGGAGUAUCUUUAUUGUUUUUUGCAGGUCUUGGUUUUGUAUUCCUAACUCUAACUCUACGUUUAUUAUGUUUUGCAUAAAAUUGUUUCUAACUUGAGUGUUGGAGUAUCUUUGUUGUUUUUUGCAGGUCUUGGCUUUGUAUUCCUAACUCUAACUCUACGUUUAUUAUGUUUUGCAUGAAAUUGUUUCUGACUUGAGCCUUGGAGUAUCUUUGUUGUUUUUUGCAGGUCUUGGCUUUGUAUUCCUAAUUCUAACUCUAUGUUAAUUAACCCUUAACUCUAUGUUUAUUAUGUUUAUCUUUGUUGUUUUUUGCAGGUCUUGGCUUUGUAUUCCUAAUUCUAACUCUAUGUUAAUUAACCCUUAACUCUAGUUUAUUAUGUUUUGCAUAAAAUUGUUUCUAACUUGAGCGUCGGAGUAUCUUCCUUGUUUUUUUUGCAGGUCUUGCCUUUGUAUUCUUAUGGCCAAUUCAAUUAGUAGAGUUGUUGAAACGGAAUGCUGGUGCCUCGCGGGGAAUGUCAUCUGUUUGACCUUUGAUCAGUUUGCCUCUAGUGCAUGUCUGACUUCAAAGGAUUCAAAUGAAGACAGAUCAGUCCUGUGAAUCAUGUACUAAUGAGAUCCUCAUCUUCCCUGAAGGAGGCUUCAUUUUAACUCCAAAGGUCUUGUCUGCUUAUUGGGUGGCCACUCGUUAGGGAGAACUUGUAAUGUGGAAUGCUGGUGCCUGGUAGAGAUUGCCUGGCAUUUGACCAGUCUGUUGUCAAGGCUUUUUAUGCAAAAGACGUGCCAGGAGAUUUAGCAGGAUGUGAAAAGUGCAAUGAUGCGGUGAGACUUGAUAAGCCUGGUGGUCCGUUGAGAGAUGAAAAUGAACAAUUGGUGGUUCCAGAGGUUCUUUGCCUUGCGUAGUUUUUCCUGAUGAAGCUCCGUGCAACAUUGUGCAACGAGUCUGAAGGCAAUGUCAAAGAGAUGCAAACCUAUUGGUAAAAUUGAGGAGGAUAUAUCCGCCACGAAUUCUGUUGUGGUUCACUCGAAGCUUACAUCAUGCCUUUCUGCUGCAAUCUCCUUGACUCCAUCAUCAAUAGUGAAUGAGAAAAAGAUGGAAUAGUGGUUGUAAAUUCUGACUGAGGAUGAUGUUGUGGGGGGACAAUGGGUAGUGCCUGAAGAUAUGGUCCAAAAAAUUGAUGUUGAGGGGCUUCUCAUGUGCAGGAGAAGGCAGGCUAGUUUUUAAGAAUAUGGACCGUUUUUGUAGAAGUUUUAGGAUGUUUUUGAACAAUGCUAAGUUUAUUAUUUUGUAGUUACUGUCAUUCUUUCUUUCUUGUAAAGAUGUGAUGUGAUGCGAAUAUAUGUAAGUUUUUUUUUU